rnacentral:rRNA from 1 species
ACAGCAGCAGCCGCGGUAAUACGAAGGGGGCUAGCGUUGCUCGGAAUGACUGGGCGUAAAGGGCGCGUAGGCGGAUCACGCAGUCAGAUGUGAAAUUCCUGGGCUUAACCUGGGGGCUGCAUUUGAGACGCGUGGUUUAGAGUGUGAAAGAGGGUCGUGGAAUUCCCAGUGUAGAGGUGAAAUUCGUAGAUAUUGGGAAGAACACCGGUGGCGAAGGCGGCGACCUGGUUCAUGACUGACGCUGAGGCGCGAAAGCGUGGGGAGCAAACAGGAUUAGAUACCCGAGUAGUCCCUGUCUCUUAUAC